UAAAGCGCAAGCGCAGAAGAGGCCGCUCCCGGUCGUCGGGACUAGAGCUGUGGGUGCCUUGGUGUCCUUGCACACCCGUGGGUUUUGACACCGUCUGUGCGUGUUUAUGUAUACGUACACGUGCGGAUUUACAUUAAUAUGCGGCAUAAGUACUGCCCAAUUUGUCCUUCCUCUAGCCGUCCCCACUUAACGCUGAGAGAAGCAUUUCUAGGCAUGGUUCACGCUUCUUGCAUUUUUUUUUUUUUUCUUUGAACUGAAAACGAAAGAAACUCCUCGUUUCUUGAGUGGUUUCUGUAGCGGGGCUGAAACCGGAACGCCCAGCCUCUUUCGGUGAGGUGGGUCAGUCAGUAGUCCGCCCAUUUUUCACCCUGGGAACCAAGGCCAGCAAAGAGGCCGGGCGGGACUUGAGACCCGGCGGUAGGAGGGGCGCUCACUGCAGGAGGAAGCGCGCCCCAGGUGCGUGGAGGCUGACUGGGUUGCCGGCCUAGAGGCCCAGAGCGCCUCGGGGUUUUUGCUCUGAGUACUGUGUUUUCCCACGCCUCCAGCUUUGGAGCCGAAAGACUUCUCUCCAAAGGGCUUUUUGUGCAAGGUGAGUUGACGUCCUGCUUGACGUGGAGUGGAUUUUUUCUCUGAAAUACUUGGCGGCAUCUAACAUCAACCCCUUCUCUAAUCCCUUUGAGAAAAAGCCAAGCAUCUUGGCGCCCUGAUUCUAACCAUUGUACUCUACUUGAGAAAUAAAGGCAAUGAAAAUAACGUCUAAUUUUAUAGUCUUUUGCAGUUACAACACAUUCUCAAGUAUGUAAAAUGUUUAAUCCCUCAUGGCAAUUAUACUAGAUAGGUUUCACAAUUAUGCCCACCAUCAUUUUUUAUUAUUCCCAUUUCACAGAUGAGAAAAGUCAGAAGGAUGCGAAUUAGGCCCAGCAAGUUUUGUGCUGAGAUUUGCAGAAGGAGAAGGCAGAGGCUUAACCUUAGGAGAGGGAUGGCAGCAACAGCAAGGAUCUGGAAGGGGCAGGAGCUUGAGGCCCUGGUGGGGUUUGUGUUAGAGUGUGAGCAGAAGGUAAAAACCGGAGAAGAGUCAGGGUGGGAAUAAAGGAGUGAAACAAAUCCCAUCUAUCUACCUAGGGCAUUUGAUAAGUCAGUCAGUAAAACUCAUUAGGUAAACCUUGACUGUGUCUUAAGGGACCCAGGUGGCAGCUCCUUCAAAGGCUAGAGGAGUGGUGUUGACACACACAAAAAUCUUUCCUGAGGUUAUUCUCACCUCUCCUUUUCUCUUCCUUUUGUGCUUUUGAAUUCUAUAUUUAAAAACUCGAUCAUCUCUCGCCCCACCUUCACCCCAGGUGUGGAGGAUCAGUUAACCAACAAAAGGCUGUUGGGCCCUAAGGGCACAGUGCUAGAUACUUGGAGAGGGUGUGAGAAAAAAUACCGAGAUUAACUUUGUAGGAGCCCUCUCUAUGUUUUGGCUUUGGGCAGGGUCAGUUUCUGUGGCUACUGCAGCCUCCCACCUUUUUCUUCCUGGGCGAGAAGAGACUUGCCUCUGGGUUGGUGGAAUAAGUAGGCCUUUCUUUGACAGUAGGUUAAAUAAUACUGCUGCAGGAUUUUAUGAAACCAGAAUCCUGCUCACAGGUGAAACAAACAAAUGAAAACCCCAUGAGGAACUUUAAUUAUUAACCUGGUAUAGAUGAUUCUGAGGAAAUCAAGUUCCAGGGAGACAGCUCAUUUCAGCCAUGAGAUGUUUUGGGGACCAAAUUUUGGCACAAAUGGCAGUUUCUUGUAGUAGACCCUUAGAACUGAAUGGGUAUUUAGUUUUUUAGUCCCCAAUUUAUUUUAGAGCUAGAAUGCUUUCAACUCAACAGAAAGAUCUCUAGUCUGACUUGGAUAAUCCCAGUGGAGGAGAGCUUAUUACUGCACAAAUCAUCCUUGUUCUCUUAUUAGAUCAUCCCAACUGUAUUAAAAAUAACUUGCUCCCCACCCCAAACUUUGCACCUCUUGUAUUUUCAUUUCAUCAUCCACCUAAUUGAACUGAUAGGGAAAAAUCUGUUAUAAGAUGGCCAACAGGACUGAUAGGGAAAUUCCAGUCCCAGAGGGAAGACUCUUCUGGGUUCUUCUUCCUGCCCCACUUGCCAUGCGUGCGCCAAAUUGUCACUAAUACAGAAGUAACAGACUAUAAAUUGUUCCUUCUGCUUAUGCUCAGGACUCAGACCCCUGGAGAGUGAUCUCCUCUGAGCCCCUGGUGUGAAAUAAGCCUCCUGCCUUCCAA